AUAAGUAAGAUUAAUGACAGUGUUGUUAUACAAUAUAGUGGGUAUUCAAAUGGAUUCAUUACAGCCUUGUUAUCUAUUACAGCGUGUCUUCGAUAGGUUACAGCCUUGUUAUCUAUUACAGCGUGUCUUCGAUAGGUUACAGCCUUGUUAUCUAUUACAGCGUGUCUUCGAUAGGUUACAGCCUUGUUAUCUAUUACAGCGUGUCUUCGAUAGGUUACAGCCUUGUUAUCUAUUACAGCGUGUCUUCGAUAGGUUACAGCCUUGUUAUCUAUUACAGCGUGUCUUCGAUAGGUUACAGCCUUGUUAUCUAUUACAGCGUGUCUUCGAUAGGUUACAGCCUUGUUAUCUAUUACAGCGUGUCUUCGAUAGGUUACAGCCUUGUUAUCUAUUACAGCGUGUCUUCGAUAGGUUACAGCCUUGUUAUCUAUUACAGCGUGUCUUCGAUAGGUUACAGCCUUGUUAUCUAUUACAGCGUGUCUUCGAUAGGUUACAGCCUUGUUAUCUAUUA